GAUGAACGCUGGCGGCGUGCCUAAUACAUGCAAGUCGAGCGAACAGAUGAGGAGUUUGCUCCUCUGACGUUAGCGGCGGACGGGUGAGUAACAUGUGGAUAACCUACCUAUAAGUCUGGGAUAACUUCGGGAAACCGGAGCUAAUACCGGAUAAUAUAUUUAACCGCAUGGUUCAAUAGUGAAAGUCGGUUUUUCUGUCACUUAUAGAUGGAUCCGCGCCGCAUUAGUUAGUUGGUAAGGUAACGGCUUACCAAGGCGACGAUUCGCAGCCGACCUGAGAGGGUGCGCGACCACCCUGGAACUGAGACACGGUCCAAACUCCUACAGGAAGCAGCAGUAGGCAAUCUUCCGCGAUGGGCGAAAGCCUAACGGAGCAACACCGCGUGAGUGAUGAAGGACUUCGGAUCGUAAAACUCUGUUAUUAGGGGAGAACAAAUGUGUAAGUACCUAUGCACGUCUUGACGGUACCUAAUCAAAAAGCCACGGCUAACUACGUG
rnacentral:rRNA from 1 species